rnacentral:tRNA from 1 species
GGGUGUAUAGCUCAGCGGUAGAGCGCAUGCUUAGCAUGAGUGAGGUCCUGGGUUCCAUCCCCAGUACCUCCA